UUUCCUGUGGCUCGGUUGGUAGAGCAAUGCACUAACAAUGCAAAGGUUGUUUGGUUUAAAUCCCAGGGAAA